ensembl:rRNA 5S_rRNA 5S ribosomal RNA
AGUUGUAGUUGUACCACCCUGAGUGUGCACAAUCUCCUGUGGUCUUGGAAGCUAAGCAGGGUAGGGCCUGGUAAGUAGUAGGAUGGGAGGUCAGUUUCCUUAAACAAUGCAUAGCAGUAU